UACAGAGGCCCCGAGCGUUAAUCGGAAUCACUGGGCUUAAAGGGUGCGUAGGCGGACCAGCAAGUGCUUUGUGAAAGCCCCCGGCUCAACCGGGGAACCGCGGGGCAUACUGCUGGUCUUGAGGCAGGUAGGGGUCGCCGGAACAGUAGGUGGAGCGGUGAAAUGCGUAGAUAUCAGGAGGAACACCGGUGGCGAAGGCGGGUCUCUGGGCCGAUACUGACGCUGAGGAGCGAAAGCGUGGGGAGCGAACAGG
rnacentral:rRNA from 1 species